rnacentral:misc_RNA from 1 species
UUGGACUACUCGGGUUUCUAAUCCCAUUCGCUCCCCUAGCUUUCGUCUCUCAGUGUCAGUGUCGGCCCAGUAGCGCGCUUUCGCCGCUGGUGUUCUUCCCAAUAUCUACGCAUUUCACCGCUACACUGGGAAUUCCCGCUACCCCUACCGAACUCUAGUUCAUCAGUUUCCACUGCCUUUACGGAGUUAAGCUCCGCGCUUUGACAGCAGACUUGAUGAACCACCUGCGGACCCUUUACGCCCAAUAAAUCCGGAUAACGCUUGCAUCCUCCGUAUUACCGCGGCUGCUGACAC